AUUAUUAAUGAAACUUUUGUUGGGCAUAAUGACAUCCAAUUUAGUACAUUACAAAAUUAAACUGAUAUAUUGUAGAUUUAUUAUAUUGUUAUUUUCUCUGGAAACCUCAUAGGCAACAAGCUGAGGUCAGAACUGAGAACUGAACAUAUGAGAUAGAGGCAUGAUUUAUUUUAAUAUAAUAUUUUUAUUUCUGUAUGAUCUCCAUUGUGAAUCUCUUGGCAUGGAGACAGAUCACAGAAAGAGAAAACAGACCUAUUUAUACUUCAGGACUGAAAUUAAUGUCUUUGGAACAUUCGUCUCAUUCUCUGUUUGUGUAACUGAUAACAGUCCAAUAUACAGCUGUGCUCGAGCAAACAUCGUGAUGUCACCGCGCCUGCGACCGCAAUGAAAUAACCACCGGUUACUUUAUGAAAAUAUCACUGCAAGAACAACACAUUAACAUCGGUGGAGACCUAAAGAAGUGUACAGUACAAGCAUCAUUGAAAACAAUGGAGGCUUAAAGGGGUGUUCCAUGAACAGCAUUUAUCGCCUAUUCUCUGGACUACUACAAUGGGGCUUCUCAUGCCUUCAUCCUGGAGGCGUUUGAAUGGCGAAAUGGUCACAUACGCAUCCUGCUGCUCCAUUCAACCUGUAUGAAAAUUUUGCAUGACCCGACUGCUAAGAACCCAACAAGUAUCCGUCUUGUAUCAUUACUGGAAAGCACUUGGUAACGUAAACUGAAAAUUGUCAUUAAAACUCCCGAAAAAGUU